rnacentral:rRNA from 1 species
UACAGAGGUCCCAAGCGUUGUUCGGAUUCACUGGGCGUAAAGGGUGCGUAGGCGGUCGGGUAAGUCUGACGUGAAAUCUUCAAGCUCAACUUGGAAACUGCGUCGGAUACUAUUCGGCUAGAGGAAUGGAGGGGAGACUGGAAUACUUGGUGUAGCAGUGAAAUGCGUAGAUAUCAAGUGGAACACCAGUGGCGAAGGCGAGUCCCUGGACAACACCUGACACUGAGGCACGAAAGCUAGGGGAGCAAACAGG